CUCAGGCAGUUUGUAUCACUGUGGUACACGUUUGGUGGAGGAACCAGGCUGGAGUUUGGAAGUGAUGUGCGGCCCACCCUGACGGUACUGCCCCCCUCCAGAGAGGAGCUGCAGCAGGGGAAGGCCACGCUCAUGUGCCUGGCCAACAAGGGCUUCCCCUCAGACUGGAGUCUGUCCUGGAAGGUGGACGGGAGCAGCAGCAGCAGCAGCAGCUGGGAGGAGAGCAGCAGUCCCGGGGUGCUGCAGAAGGACGGUCUCUACAGCUGGAGCAGCACCCUGAGGCUCCCUGCAGCCCAGUGGGAGAAGGUGGGCUCUGUGACCUGUGAGGCCACCCAGGGCUCCCAGACUCCACUCUCACACACACUGAGGAGAGACCAGUGUUCCCAGUCCUGAGCUGACUCACUGGGACUCUGAUCCUGGUUCUCCUGUUACUGCAGGUGUUUCUGUCUCUGAUCUUUGUUUUGUAAUGUUCAUCAUUUCACUGUUUGAUACAAUAAAGAUUCAUUCAAAGAAA